AUUGAACGCUGGCGGCAGGCCUAACACAUGCAAGUCGAACGAGUGGCGGACGGGUGAGUAAUGUCUGGGAAACUGCCCGAUGGAGGGGGAUACCUACUGGAAACGGUAGCUAAUACCGCAUACCAUCGGAUGUGCCCAGAUGGGAUUAGCUGGUAGGUGAGGUAACGGCUCACCUAGGCGACGAUCCCUAGCUGGGGUGAGAGGAUGACCAGCAACACGGGAAAGGAGACACGGUCCGUGCUGCUACGGGAGGCAGCAGUGGGGAAUAUUGCAGAAGGGGUGCAAUCCUGAUGCAGCCAUGCCGGGGUGAUGAAGAAGGCCUUCGUGUUUUAAAGUCCUUUCAGCGUGGAGGCGUUACCCGCAGAAGAAGCACCGGCUAACUCCGUGCAAGCAGCCGCGGUAAUAC
rnacentral:rRNA from 1 species